rfam:Salmo salar isolate Sally breed double haploid chromosome ssa21, whole genome shotgun sequence.
UGCACGCAAUUCUGUAAGUCGCUUUGGAUAAACGCGUCUGCUAAAUGGCAUAUA